rnacentral:lncRNA from 12 species
UUUAGAAAUCUCAUACAUAGAUUAUUGGUCAGAUUGUAGAGAUAUUUGAUGCAGAAAAGACGUUAGCUCAGCAUAAUGAAUAUGUCUGCCAGCCAUUUUUAUAAUGACUUGCUGCAGUUUUUAUUGUCUGACAAACCGUAUGCUGUGCUGUACUGUGAGCUUUCUUGUUCGACAUAAUAAAAAAUGAUGCAAUGUAUCCCUAGAAGUCUAGCUGGAUGAAAAGAAGGCAGCAGAGUACUGCUUCUGCCAAUAGUUUGGUUGCAUAUUCUGUGGAAAUUAUUCUGCAGGUGAUAAAUACACAAUUACCAUCGUUUGUAGUGCAUUCUUCAUGAUCUCUAGUAAGGACAUUAUUCAGAUAUAGAGCUUUUAAAUCUAUUCAUACACCUAAAAUUUCUGUACACAUAUUUAGCAAACCACCAGGUGUGUCUGAACGUUUGGAGAUGAAAAUAUUUACCUAUAUUUAGAGAGCCAUGAAAUCACUUACUUUUGGUUUGUUAAUUUAUUACUACUGCAUUUCACGUGACUUUUUGAAACAUUUGCUCAUCGGGGAAAUAAUAUUUCAAAAGAUAAAAGGUUCCAGUUACUUAAUAGUUAAGUGCAUCAAUAUUACAUGAAAGAUUUAGGCUUAAGUAUGAGUGAUCAUUUUCAAUUUAGCAUUUCCAUAUAUAUGAAAAGAUCUAUGCUUAGUUUUAAUAAGAAUGUAUUAAUAUAAGGUCUAUAAAGUACACUGGGCAGGAGUCUGGUACAAUAGAACGGCAUGGUAUGUAUAUUCACUUUGGUGAUAAAUGCUUCAUUCCUUCUUUAGAGGAUUAUUAAAAGCGUUCUCUGGAGGAAUAAAAUGGUGGAAGUCACACAUUUAAUAGCUCAGGUACAAAGAGUCAGAUUGUGCCAGUUGGCAAAAGUUAGCAGGAAGCUGUCACAAUAAAUGGCAGCAGCUGCUCAUAGUUCUAAAGAGUAUAAAUAUGAUGGACUAUAUGUUUUUCUCAAUGAUUAUUCUCCCUCUUUCUCCUUCUCUGUCUCUCUUUGUUGCCAGUUUCUUGAGUUAUCAGCUUUUUGGUCUUACCAGACUUUUUAAGAAUGUAUAAUAAAUUAAAAAAAAAGAUGCA